rnacentral:misc_RNA from 1 species
CUUACUUAUAUUUCCUCGAAGAAUUUUAAAAUUAACGAUUAUCAAUAUAUAUUAUUACUGUGUUCUAUUCUAACCUUAUAUCGAUACAUACAAUGAAAAAUAUUUAACUAAUCAAUUUACAUUAAUCGAUACAAAUAAAAUUAUACGAUAUAACCAAUUAAUUUUCACUAAAUGAAAGAUAAAAAGAAUCAUUUUUCAAGGUAUAAAUGACUAAAUGUCUCAUAGUGUGUACAAGAUAUUUACCAAUGUUCCGUGUAACGAAACGUCACAUUCCAAGUCACAGAAUGGUCAGAAUGUUUGCUUUUCCUCGUUCGACGAAUUUCACGAGCGUUGUUUUCACUCCGGGAAGUCGAGUGUAUGGAAAAAAAGGCAGCAAGGCAAGCAGCUAAGGCUUGACCGAAAGGUACUGGCGACGGUGCUUUUAAAGCUGUACCGCGUGUUUGUUUGCGGCCCGUGUUAAUUCGUCGUACAAAUAACCGGCGACGGCCCUCGGACCACGAACGAUUCGUAGCCGUUGCAAAUGAUCAGUUCCUCGCGGGCAAUACGUGUAACUGCAUUGCGUUUCACCGUUCCAUCGCGUGAUCUUUGAAAAAAGGCAAAUGAAUGCCUCUCGGUGUGCUGGGUGAAGUGAUGUCUUAAGCAGUGGAUGCUUCGUAUCGAAUACGCUAGUUGUUUGCGAUGGAUUAUCGAGUUCGUUCCGCAACGAAAAUACAUCGGAUUAUACGCAGCCAUUAUCCAUCGAAACACACUUGAAAUCGUGGAGAAGAACGAAACAAGUCAAUACGUGUGGAGGUUUACGACGUCGGGGUUGGAAAUCAACGAAGAGAACGGCCGCGUCGCAAUAGGGAGACCACUCGUGCUCGGGAGUGUCGAAUGAAUGAUACGCAAACAAUAUUGGAUCAUUUUGAAUCUGCCGGGACGAUCCACUCGCUAUGGCGUCAAUUCUCUUCCCGACGUUUGGAGAAAUCUUCUUUGAGAGUUGGCAUCUUGCGUCCUUUUUGAUCUUGGCCUUACGCGCCGCUCACCAUGAAACACCAUGGGCGUUUCAUAUCUCCUCGGGACCAGAUACCAACCGCGGUGCACCGGUGUUCUCUCUCUCCAACCAGCGGCCUCUAUGGGCGUUUUCAGCACCGUAGAAGGGAUUAAAUUUUCAAAGCGAGCGCCGAUUCCUCCUCGGUUCUGUGGCCGGAGGAACCGGAUAGGAACCGCUCUCGAGAAAAUGGCGACCGAGGAAC